CCUACGGGUGGCUGCAGUGAGGAAUAUUGGUCAAUGGGCGAGAGCCUGAACCAGCCAAGUCGCGUGAAGGAAGACUGUCCUUUGUAUUGUAAACUUCUUUUGUCUGGGAACAAAGGCGGGGACGCAUCCCCUCAUGUGUGUACCCGAAGAAAAAGCAUCGGCUAACUCCGUGCCAGCAGCCGCGGUAAUACGGGGGAUGCGAGCGUUAUCCGGAUUUAUUGGGUUUAAAGGGUGCGAAGGCGGUAGGUCAAGUCAGCGGUAAAAUGUUGGGGCUCAACCUCGGCUGGCAGUUGAAACUGGUUGUCUUGAGUACGGGAGAGGUAGGCGGAAUUCGUGGUGUAGCGGUGAAAUGCAUAGAUAUCACGAAGAACUCCGAUUGCGAAGGCAGCACACAGGCUCGCAACUGACGCUGAGGCACGAAAGCGUGGGUAUCGAACAGGAUUAGAUACCCUUGUAGUC
rnacentral:rRNA from 1 species